rnacentral:rRNA from 1 species
AUUGAACGCUGGCGGCAGGCCUAACACAUGCAAGUCGAACGAGUGGCGGACGGGUGAGUAAUGUCUGGGAAACUGCCUGAUGGAGGGGGAUAACUACUGGAAACGGUAGCUAAUACCGCAUACCAUCGGAUGUGCCCAGAUGGGAUUAGCUAGUAGGUGGGGUAAAGGCUCACCUAGGCGACGAUCCCUAGCUGGUCUGAGAGGAUGAACAGCCACAGUGGAACUGAGACACGGUCCAGACGCCUCCGGGAGGCAGCAGGGGGGAAUAUUGAACAAUGGGCGCAAGCCUGAUGAAGCCAUGCCGCGUGUAUGAAGAAGGCCUUCGGGUUGUAAAGUACUUUCAGCGGGGAGGCGUUACACGCAGAAGAAGCAACGGCUAACUCCGUGACAGCCGCCGCGGUAAUAC